UAGGGAAUUUUCGGCAAUGGGGGAAACCCUGACCGAGCAACGCCGCGUGAGUGAAGAAGGCCUUCGGGUUGUAAAGCUCUGUUGUAAGGGAAGAAGAGAUCAUAGAGGGAAUGCUAUGAUUGUGACGGUACCUUACCAGAAAGCCACGGCUAACUACGUGCCAGCAGCCGCGGUAAUACGUAGGUGGCGAGCGUUAUCCGGAAUUAUUGGGCGUAAAGGGUGCGUAGGCGGCACAUUAAGUCUAAGGUUAAAGUUCGAGGCUCAACUUCGGAUUGCCUUAGAAACUGGUGAGCUAGAGUGCAGGAGAGGGCAAUGGAAUUCCAUGUGUAGCGGUAAAAUGCGUAGAUAUAUGGAGGAACACCAGUGGCGAAGGCGGUUGCCUGGCCUGUAACUGACGCUGAGGCACGAAAGCGUGGGGAGCAAAUAGG
rnacentral:rRNA from 1 species